AAAACACUUAAUAAAAAAACAAAAACAUUAAAAAAUACAUUGGUAGACUGUUGGAUCUUUGUCUGUGACUUGAUUUGGACCUAUGGACUUAGAGUAUGCAACAUUCCUGAGCUAUGGAAGAAAAACUUGGCCAAUGCCAUUAAUUUGAGACCAAAAACAUGGCCAAUGUCAUUCAUCUGACACAAGCUUGAGAGACUCCCUUGGAUUUAUCUGAUACACUCUUU
rnacentral:lncRNA from 1 species